AUACGGAGGGUGCAAGCGUUAUUCGGAAUCACUGGGCGUAAAGGACGCGUAGGCGGGUUGGCAAGUCAGAUGUGAAAUCCUACAGCUUAACUGUAGAACUGCAUUUGAAACUGCUAACCUAGAGUAUGGGAGGGGGAGAUGGAAUUAGUGGUGUAGGGGUAAAAUCCGUAGAUAUCACUAGGAAUACCGAAAGCGAAGGCGAUCUCCUGGAACAUAACUGACGCUAAGGCGUGAAAGCGUGGUGAGCAAACAGGAUUAGAUACCCCAGUAGUCC
rnacentral:rRNA from 1 species